rnacentral:lncRNA from 1 species
GAGAAAGUCCAGAUGGAAUUGAAAAUAGAUGAGCUCUUGGCUGGGAUGGUAUUAUUGAUGGAUAAUUUGACAGCAUUUAUAAAUACAAUUCUUUGACCCACAAUUCAAACUCUAAGACAUUAUUCUAAAAGUGUUCCUGUACAACUAUGCAAGCUGAUGCUUUUCCAAGCCUUCUACAUCCCACAGCUGGUUAUUAGAAUGUGAUAAUCUUGGAGUCAAUAUAUGGAGGGGAUGCUGAAAAAAAUUCACAGGAGACCAACUCAGUCUACCAGCUAAAUCGGUUUGGAGGCACUGAAAUCUAAUAAAAAACACAUCUGAGUAUCCAAUCCUGGACCCACUGCCAGGAAGAGAAGAGACCUUGAACAGUGAUGGAGGCAGUGAAGGAACUUCGGUAUAAGAGAUUGCAUCCCAUUUCUUCACUGGUCCCACCAAGGUGACCAGCUGUGUGACAAAUCCUCUAGAAUCUGGAGCUGACCCCUGAGGGGUUUCUCUGAGCUGGACUGACAGUUGCUGUAUCACUGGCAAUGGUACGGAAAGUUUGCUGCUUUGCCUUUACUGUUCUCAUUUUAAAUCCGACCUGGAGAAGGUCACGCUGCCCCUUCGACCUUGACGUCUGCAGCACCGUUCUGCACACACUGCGAGGAGGAAGGAGACCACUUCUAAAAUGAGGGACAUUGACUGCCCGUCCAACCGGGUGCCGUUCCCGGAAGUGCAUGCCCAGCUCGCCCUCCGCCCAGCCACACCCCUCCCAGGAAGCUGGAGGAGCACAAGUGACCACAAUGGAGAGACUGAGGAUUAUCAUCCAGCACCACAUACCAACAGAAUAACGUGUGUCACUGACAUGUGAGUAGAACUGAAACGAAGCAGCCAGUUCGUUGGUCACUGAGAGGUGAGUCAUAAUACCAGGCAGAGUUGUGAAGACAAAGAAAUAGAAGACAAGUCCAUGAUCUCCUAGAGCUUCUCUCUUGGUUUAAGAGACAAGAAAAAGUUACUUGAACACAUAUGAUGAAUGCAAAUCAUGUAAAUGAAUCCUAAAACAUGGUGGGAGCAGUCCCACCAGGAAGUGCAGGAGUGGAGAGGCCCUGACAUCACAGGGGAGCCAUGGUGGGGGCUUCAUGAAGGAGCAAUCUGAGAGGCCUGAAGGCCAGCAAGCAGCCUGAGAAGGGCAUCGCAGCUGUUGGAAGAGAAAGGGCUGGCUGGACAGAGCUCAGCUCGUGCUUGAGGAGGGAGCAAGGAGUCAAGUGUGCUGAUGUCCUGAUUUGGAAAAUACUGAGAUGGUGAGAAACAAAGCUGGCCAGCUGGUGGGGCCACAGCAUGGAGGUCCUCAAAUACUCGGAUGCAGAGUUUGAACCGAUAUUCUUAUCUGUGCUGAAUUACGACUGGUCAAAGUGUACACUACAAAAUUCUUAAUGCUUCAGCAAUCUUUACUAACCACUUUUUUUCUUCUACUUGUAAAGCCAAAGAGGGACAAGAAAGGGCUAGAGGAAUGUCUCUAGAAUCAAAGUCAAGACCUCCAGAUUCUAGUACUACCUGUGUUGCUACUUAAUUAUAUGAACUUGUGCAAAUCUUGUUAUUCAUCUGUAGUUUAACUUUGCAUUUGCAACACGAGAUGGUAAAACCGAUACAUAACUCAGUAUUUCUUUAAAAAAAAAUGGAAACAAUAAAUGCACAAAACCCAAAAGUUAGCAUUUAGGGAUAUCAAGACUACUGUUGUCAUCACUGUGAUUCUGCAAGUUCUCCAGAAAAAUUCACGUUAGGACAUAUAGAUGCAGGGCUACCUUCAGCCAUCCAUCCAUUCAACUCUGCCCCAGGCGCCCAAACUGCACGCUUUGUGGAGCUUAUAUUCUAACGGGGAAGUAUAAUUGGUUGCUAGGGCUGCCAUAGCACUGCAGACUGGGUGGUUUAAAUAACAGAAUUUUAUUUUUUACAAUUCUGGAGGCCAGAAGUUUGAGAUCAAGGUGUCAGCAGGGUUGCUUCAUCUGAGGCCUCUCUCUUGGACUUGUAGAUGGCUGUCUUCCCCUUGUGUCUUCACAUGGUCCUCCCUCUAUGAGUGUAUGUCCAUGUGCUUAUGUGUGUGCUAAUCUCUUCAUAGAAGGACACCAGUCGUAUUGGAAGAGGGGCUACACAUAUGACCUCAUUUUACCCCAAUUCCCUCUCCAAAGGACCUAUCUCCAAACACAGUCACAGUCUGAGGUACUGGGUGUGAGAUCAUAUGAAUUUUUCAGGGACACAAAUUUGGCCCAUAACAGAGAGAUAAAUAAUAAACAAGUAAACAAAUAAGGAAUAAAUGGAAUAACAUGAAGCAGACUUGUGUGAGUGGAAUUGCUAUAGAGCGAAGAAUGCAAACACCACCUGGCUUUGAAAGACAGAGUGGACUGUCCCUGCAGGAGAGCAGCAAUGGAGGUGUCGCAAGAUGAGACAAGCUCUGUGUGUUUGAGACUGAGCAUGCACCAGUUGGAAGGCUUGGUUUGGGUCCCUGCAGCUUAGGGGCACAGUGCAAAAGUGUCUGAACCACUUCUAUCAAAAGGGCCCCUGGCUAGAGCUGCUGAGGGUGUCCAUGCCUCCAGGAGAGUCUGCCUCUGGGAAGUGGCCGGCUUAGAUGGUGUCCUCAGACAGACUGGGGGUGCCUCCCAUCCAUUCCCAAGAGGAGCUCAGCACGGCAGGGCUGAAAGAAGGAAGGGCAUGGCUGCAGGGGAGAAUCCACAAGGAUUUUGAGCAAGAGAACGACAAUGAAAGUCAAAGCUUUCCCGUAAGAAAAUUAAUCUAAUUUUAAUAUCAGAGAUGGAGAGGAGGUGGAUAGGAUCAGCCUCAGAGCCAUCCAAUCAUUAGUUGUUUUUAUAACAAGCAAUUACUGAGCACUGAUUUGUUCUGAGGGCUAAAUAGGAACAGCAAUGUUGGGAAUUGUAUUAGUUUCUCAGGAUGUCAUGAAAAAGUAGUAGACACUGGGUGGCUUAAAAUAACAAAAGUGGAUUCUCUCCUAGUCCUGAUGGCCAGAAGGCUGAUAUCAAGGUGUCGGCAGGACCACACUCCCCCUAGAACCUCUAGGGAAAGAUCGUUCCUUGCAUCUGCCAGCUCUGUGGCUCCAAGCACUCCUUGGUUUGCAGCAGCAUAACUUCCAUGUCUACCUCUGUUUUCAUGAUUGUCUUUCCCCUGGGUCUCUUCUGCUCUUCGUAUAAGAGCUAUCAAGUGGGCUUCAUCCCUGGGAUGCAAGGCUGGUCCAACAUACGCA